rnacentral:rRNA from 1 species
GAUGAACGCUAGCUACAGGCUUAACACAUGCAAGUCGAGGGGUAACAAGAGGAAAGCUUACUUUUCUUGUUGACGACCGGCGCACGGGUGAGUAACGCGUAUCCAACCUGCCUAUAACUAGGGAAUAACCUUGCGAAAGUAAGACUAAUACCCUAUGAUUUCCUUUGAUGGUCUCAGAUUAGGAAUAAAGAUUUAUCGGUUAUAGAUGGGGAUGCGUCUGAUUAGCUUGUUGGCGGGGUAACGGCCCACCAAGGCAACGAUCAGUAGGGGUUCUGAGAGGAAGGUCCCCCACAUUGGAACUGAGACACGGUCCAAACUCCUACGGGAGGCAGCAGUGAGGAAUAUUGGUCAAUGGGCGGAAGCCUGAACCAGCCAAGUAGCGUGCAGGAUGACGGCCCUAUGGGUUGUAAACUGCUUUUAUACAGGAAUAAAGUUAGCCACGUGUGGUUAUUUGUAGGUACUGUAUGAAUAAGGACCGGCUAAUUCCGUGCCAGCAGCAGCCGCAG